rnacentral:lncRNA from 1 species
GGUGAGAAUGAUUAGAAGAUUACAAAAACCAUCCUUAAGUAUUUGAGAAAUACUAAAGACCAAUGGCUCGUUUAUGAAGAAUCUGACAUGAAACUCAUGGGAUAUACUGAUUUUAGUUUUUAAUUAAAUCAUGAUGAGAGUAAGAGCGUAUCGAGGUAUAUCUUUAUCUUAAAUGAUAGAGCUGUCUGCUGAAAAAGUUUCAAGCGGCAUACAGUGGCCGACUCAAUAUGUGAGG